UACGGAGGGGGCUAGCGUUGUUCGGAAUUACUGGGCGUAAAGCGCGCGUAGGCGGACCUGCAAGUCAGGGGUGAAAGCCCGAGGCUCAACCUCGGAACUGCCUUCGAUACUGCGGGUCUCGAGUCCGGGAGAGGUGAGUGGAAUUCCUAGUGUAGAGGUGAAAUUCGUAGAUAUUAGGAAGAACACCAGUGGCGAAGGCGGCUCACUGGCCCGGUACUGACGCUGAGGUGCGAAAGCGUGGGGAGCAAACAGG
rnacentral:rRNA from 1 species